rnacentral:rRNA from 1 species
UGCAUAUCAAUAAGCGGAGGAAAAGAAACUAACCAGGAUUCCCCUAGUAACGGCGAGUGAAGCGGGAAAAGCUCAAAUUUGUAAUCUGGCGCCUUUGGCGUCCGAGUUGUAAUCUCGAGAAGUAUUUUCCGCGCUGGACCGCACAUAAGUCUGUUGGAAUACAGCGUCAUAGUGGUGAGAACCCCGUAUAGGGUGCGGAUGCCCAGUGCUUUGUGAUAUACUUUCGAAGAGUCGAGUUGUUUGGGAAUGCAGCUCAAAUUGGGUGGUAAAUUCCAUCUAAAGCUAAAUAUUGGCGAGAGACCGAUAGCGAACAAGUACCGUGAGGGAAAGAUGAAAAGCACUUUGGAAAGAGAGUUAACAGUACGUGAAAUUGUUGGAAGGGAAACGCUUGAAGUCAGACUUGCAUUUUGGAGUUCAGCCGCAAGGUGUAUUCUUCAAUUCGCAGGCCAGCAUCAGUUUUUGGGGGUGGAAAAGCGUGGUUUGAAGGUAGCAGUCUCGGCUGUGUUAUAGCUUUCCACUGGAUUCACUUUUGGGGACUGAGGAACGCAGUACGCUUUUUGCAAGAUUUUCGGAUCUUUCGUACUUAGGAUGCUGGUGGAAUGGCUUUAAACGACCCGUCUUGAAACACGGACCA